CUAUUGGAUGAUAUUUGUCAUUAUUUAAUAAAAGAAGGGCGAAUGCUGUCGAGUUUUCCAGCAUUCUUAUUUCGCUCACCCUGAGAUUGUGAUCUUUCGGGUGGCGGAACACUUUCGAUUUCCAUUUCAGUUUCGUCGACAAGUGUUGAAAAUCUGUUGUGCGAGGAGAGUCGUCGAUCUCCAGGACCACACGCAGCUGGUUUUACUCCGCCUCGACCCCUACCCCGCGACCUCGAAUCAGAAGACUUCUGAGAGGAUGUAUUUACUGGCUUCUUUUGACAUCCUUCUUUUCUGGAGAACGAAGAGGAGAUGGGGCUCUAGUAGACUUUGUACUGGACGAAGAAGUUAACUUCUUAGAUGAAGAUGAAGGAAGACUUUUUGAGGUGGAAGAAUCAUCUAUGUCACUGGGAAGAUCCCAGACAGAUUCACCGCUCCAAUUGUGUAUUUCUACUGUUUCUUUUUUAUUUGAUUUCUUUUUCUCAUUUUUUUUUGGUGAUGAUAUUGAGCUCUGUAGGGAAGAUUGAGUUGACUGAGUACUGGUUUUGGAAGAUUUUGGUUUUCUUGGAAUUAAUAUUUAUCGGUAGGUUCUGUUUCAACAGGCAGCAUUGUGAAAUUGUCCGCAUCAAUUGGCCAAGUCAUGCGAGUUUGUGUAUUCUCGUGACUGAAUGAGCGGACAACUUUGCUGGCGUACGAUGGUCUGUUUGAAACAAGGAGAUCAUUCGAAACAGAAGCUAUCUGUUUAGCUUCUGGGUAACUGAUGUUUCUUUCUGUUUUAAUUUUAAUAAUAUUUUUUUUCUUUAAGGUAAACAGGGCAGUCCCUAGACGAUGAAAAAUGGGAUUCACCACAGUUUACGCAUUUAGAAGAUUCAGAGUUACAGUUUGUUCCCUCGUGUCCUUCGUCAGAACACUUGAAGCAUCUCUGCUUACCACGACAUUGUUUGCUUCCAUGACCAAACUUUUGACAAGUAAAGCAUCGAAUUGGGUUAGGGAUAAACAUGUCAACUCUGAUUCCGAAGCAACCUAAAGUAAUAGAUGGAGGAGGAGUUGGAGUUCUAAAGGUCAAAAGGUAAGUAUUUAAUUUCCAUUCUUUUUAAUUUGAAAUCUAAUAACAUCAGUUACACCUUGGCUUGAAAGUUCCUCAGCGAUUUCUUCCACGGUGAGGUCACCAAGGUAUUGACUUCUGUCUCGA
rnacentral:lncRNA from 1 species